rnacentral:miRNA from 1 species
UUCUGUUGCUGUACUUGCUGCA